rnacentral:rRNA from 1 species
GACCGUGCAAAGGUAGCAUAAUCAUUUGCCUUAUAAUUGAAGGCUAGUAUGAAUGGUUUGACGAGAAUUAAGCUGUCUCUUUUCAACUAAAUAUAAUUUUAUUUAUAGGUGAAGAAGCCUAUAUUCUAUUGAAAGACAAGAAGACCCUAUCGAGCUUAAAAGAAUUUAAUAAAUUUAUCAUAUAUUUAUAAAAAAGUAAAAUUAUUAAAGAUUUUGGUUGGGGCGACUGAGGAACAAGAAAAGCUUCCUUUAUUUUCAUUAAAACUUACAAGUAUUGAUCCAAUAAAUUUGAUUAAAGAAAUUAGUUACCGUAGGGAUAACAGCAUAAUCCUCUUUGAGAGCCCUUAUCGAAAAGGGGGUUUGUGACCUCGAUGUUGGACCAGAAUAUCCAGAAGAUGCAGCCGUCUUCAAUGGUUGGUCUGUUCGACCAUUAAAAUUCUACGUGAUCUGAGUUCAGACCGGCGUGAGCCAGGUCAGUUUCUAUCUUCAAUUUUUAUAAUGGCUUUAGUACGAAAGGACCAAGCUAUUGCAAAAUAAUUUGUAAUAUCUGAUUAAAUAUAAAGAGUAAUUAAAUUUCUAAUAAACAUCAAAUUAGCAAAGAUUAAUGCAAUUGACUUAGGAUCAAUAGACAUAGGUGAAACCCCUUUAUUUGAUAAUAAAGAUGGCAGAAAAA